GGCUGACUGCUACUGGGGAAGGGUCUCUUUUUGGAGAAUUCCUCCCCUGUGGAGUUUCCCCUGAGAAUCUUGAUCCUUGGAGAUGGCACCAGUUAGUGGCGUCUGGACACGUUUCGGUACGUACUCCAAGAAAUAUCAGCGAAUGCAACUGUGAAGUGAUGAUGAUGAUGGCAGGAGCUAUAUCAGUCCCCGCGUGGCUCAGGCAAUGUGGCUGCAGACCACAGCCUCCGUGUCUUGGGAUGGGAACGUGUGUGUGACAUGGGAAGGAAGCAUGCCGUGUCAAGUCAGCGUUCAUAGAAUCAUAGAACACCAAGGCUGGAAAAGACCUUCAAGAUCAUCCUGUCCAUCCAUUGGCAUUCCACGUGGAGAGCACUCUGUGACUCCCAGCCUUACAACAAGCACAUGGUUUUCCCUUGGCUGCAAUGAAGAGCCCCCUCCCCUUCUGCACAGUCCAUUUCUGGCUUGGAAGGGAUCACAGAGCCUGUCCUCAUAGCAUGCUGAUACACAACACUUGGCCAGCACUGCUAAAUCCCAGCCUGUGCCAUCCUCCUGCAUAGUCCUGGGGAGGACAUCAUCUUCUGGAACAUCCUCUUCCCUUUUCCUCUGACGAUUAUUGAAGCAGGAGUGAAAAACAUCAAGUGGCUUUAGGAAAAUAAAACAUCUCUAUUAUAUGUAUUACUGAAAGCAUCCUGAUUAAAAGCGAUUUUAUAGCAGGAUGCAAACUGCAGCCGGAGUCAGCAUCUGAGUUGCUUGCCCCUGCUCUCGCCAAACUACUUGUAUAUUAUUCACAGUUGUAAAUUGCUUUGAGAUUUCUGGAAGUGGAUAAAGCCCCAUUUCUCUGCAGUCCUUUUAAACAUCCCCGU
rnacentral:lncRNA from 1 species